AGAGUUUGAUCCUGGCUCAGGACGAACGCUGGCGGCGUGCCUAAUACAUGCAAGUCGAGCGGACAGAUGGGAGCUUGCUCCCUGAUGUUAGCGGCGGACGGGUGAGUAACACGUGGGUAACCUGCCUGUAAGACUGGGAUAACUCCGGGAAACCGGGGCUAAUACCGGAUGGUUGUUUGAACCGCAUGGUUCAAACAUAAAAGGUGGCUUCGACUACCACUUACAGAUGGACCCGCGGCGCAUUAGCUAGUUGGUGAGGUAAUGGCUCACCAAGGCAACGAUGCGUAGCCGGCCUGAGAGGGUGAUCGGCCACACUGGGACUGAGACACGGCCCAGACUCCUACGGGAGGCAGCAGUAGGGAAUCUUCCGCAAUGGACGAAAGUCUGACGGAGCAACGCCGCGUGAGUGAUGAAGGUUUUCGGAUCGUAAAGCUCUGUUGUGAGGGAAGAACAAGUACCGUUCGAAUAGGGCGGUACCUUGACGGUACCUAACCAGAAAGCCACCGCUAACUACGUGCCAGCAGCCGCGGUAAUAC
rnacentral:rRNA from 1 species